UAUAGUAGCCAUUUGUAUAACUUGACAAUUGUUUGUUAAUUUGAGCAGGUGGUUUAGCAAAUCUUUUUGAUGAAUACAUUAUAGUUUUUAUUGAUGUUUCGUUAGAAAAUUAACCUGCAACAAUGGGUCGGGCAUACAAGAGUGAACCCACUUCAAGCAAACAUGCACGAUUGACCAUGACCGAGUCACACGUGCAGUUUUGGCAGUAAAGGAAGGCAUGUCAGUAAGGGCAGCUGCUAAGGCUCAUGCUGGCUGGACAUGACAUCUCAUUUGUUUUUUACCACCCAACUCAACCCAUCUAACACAGCCACUAGAUGUUGCUGUUUUCAGGUCGCUGAAGAUACACUGGAGGUUGGUUUUGGAAAAAUGGAAGCUCAAAACCAAGAACAACAGCAAGUCAUUUGACAAACAGUAUUUUCCUUGUCUUUUAAAACAGACAUUGUAAAAAAUGAAUGUAAAUGACCAACUUAGCAAGGACAUAUCUUCAGGUUUUGAAAAAGCGGGCUUGUUCCCAUUGAAAAGAGAACGGGUCCUUGAAGGACUUCCUGCAUUUCCUGCUGAUCAACCAAAUGAAGGAAAGGAGAAUGAAAAAACAGUGAACGACAAUCUCUCACAGUUUUUAAAGGAGAUGUGCUAUGGUAAUGAAGAACCUGAAGCAAACAUGCAAGAAAAAGCGUCUGAGUGUUUACCAGAUCAGAGUGUUUCUCUUGCUGACUUGGAAUCAGAGGAUUGUGAUGUGGAAUUUGAUGAUAAAAAUAAUGAAGAAAAUGAGGAAGUUGAUCAAAUCAAAGAAGGGGACUGGGUGAGGGUAAAAUUUCAGUAUGAAAAUAGUGUUGAAAAGAUUUUUAUUGGGAAGAUGGCUUCAAUUUACACAUUCCCCAAUGUCGCAGAUGAAUAUGAGUUCAGCAAAAAACAGAUUUUGCAAGUGUUAAACCCACCUGAAAUUAGGAGGGGAUGGCAUACCUUCAAGUAAACCAGCAAACCAACCUAGUGUUUCCACAUAUUAUUUGUGGUAGGGCCUACCGGUAAAUACAGUGUGCUUCUUAAUGUAGGUAACAUUAUAUUCUGGAUGUAGACUAUCUUCCAAGACUAUGCAUAACAGCAUCAUGGAGCUUAUAAGUAUGAACUUGUUUUUUGUGCAAUUUUUAAAAUUCAUUUUUAAUAUGCCUUUUUGAAAUUAUUAUAUAGACAAAUUUCGAAUAAAACUACUAAUGGAAGUUAUUUAACCUUUUUAAAAACAUUUUACAUGCAUUUAAAAAGCCAAGCAUAUGUCCCUAUUAACCAUACUAUGAUUAAAAAGGGACACAUAUUGAAAAACCUCAGGUGUCCCUAUUAACCCCACCUCUAGGGUGAAUAGGGACAGGCAAAAAAAAUUAAUUAUUGUAAAACAUUAACAGAAAAUACAAAAAUUUAUUAUGCUAUAGAAAGCUAAUAAAAAGAACUACUAAAUAAAAAUAUAAUCAUACAACAUUCUUCAGUGAUUUAGAAAUUAUUUAACAAAAACUAAAAAAAUUGUCCCUAUUCACCCCAUUUUACUGUACCAGUGCCUUUAAGUUUUUUAGUUUAUUGCACUUGCUUUUUAGGAAGUUUAAUUUAACUUACUUUUUUUGCUUUAAAUAGUCAAGUUGAUGGAAAAGUUAAUUGAAUUAUUAGAAAAAUAUCCAUGUUUAUGGCAUGAAAGGACGGAAGAAUACAGAAGGCAGGAUAUGCAGGACAAUGCCUUGGAUUUGAUUGCAAGGGAAUGCUAUCAAACUGAGUUGAAUUUUUCUGAAAUAGGUACUCCAUACAUUUGGUUUUGUCUUCGCAAGCAACUGCUUCAUCAAAUUAUGAAUUUCUUGUAAUUAUUUUGUUUUUAGAUUAAAUUCAUGAACCCAAAAGACUAUUGUCAUUGUCAAAAUCAUCACUUGAAUCUUAUGGCAUGCAUCUCUCCGACAUUGCAAAUUAGACUAUCUUGUCUGGCAACCUGGGCGCAGCGAACAUAGCUCAGUUUACAAUUUAGCCUCGGCUUUUGUUGUAUCAAUCAAGGUGUGUAAAGAGUUCUGGCAAUGGCAUUGGGAAUUAAUCACCGAAUAUAAAUCCAAUGUAACAAAACCUCAUGAAUAGAUACACAACCUCAAAGCCUGUAGUGCCGCAGGGCACCACAGUAGCAAGGCGAUUUGUUGCAUUGAACGUCCUUACACGAGAAUCCACGUGAGCUUCUGCAGUGUUGUAAUGAACAAAUUACACAGUAUGUCAUGCUUGUUGAGGAGUUGGCAUAUUAUAUCAGUGAAUAACUGUGCAGAAGAGCUCAUAGAUAAGGAACUUGUGAGGAAUUACAACACAGAAUGAACAGGAGUUCACCACACAUCCCAUGCAAUGUCAUGCCAACAGCCAGCUGACUUUGAGCUAUAAGUUUGGUUUUUAAGGUGAGGCUCAAAAAGACACACAGGCUAUGGAGAAGUUCAUGCUGGUCCUCUUCAACUGUAUCCACCAGUCAUCUGUUAUGCAACCAGUUCCUCUGCUCAUGCUGUACAAAGACAGUGAAAGAAAAUUUGCAGCAAGUGCUCACAACAGAAAAUAACCUACAUUGCCUGCUAGGAAGAACACAAGAACUACCACCCGCUGGAGGAUCAGAGACCAGACACCAAAUAUAGUCACAUACAAUACCUACCAGAGCCGCAACGUGAGUACCAGUGCCCACAAUUGGCAGCACCACUAUAAUUUAGGAGCACCAGCCAUCAUCCCCAAGUAACAAAUCACUCAGAACCAGCAUGAUUGAAAAGGCCACCAGUGUUGAUGGUGCCCUGAAGGGGAUUAGGCAGUAAAGGCAUGCAAGACAUGAUGUCCUAGCUUUAAUGGCCUGCAACCCACCCAGUGGCGUAGCCAGGAUUUGUGUAUGGGGGGUCCUCCCCUGGGAAAAUUUGGAUUUUAAGGUGUAAAAUAGUGCUAUUUUAGCAGUUUUCGGUACUUAAAUUUAAAUAUUGUAAUGGUAAAAAUUUUAUUAAUUUUAAUAUGAAAUUCGUUUGAGUGAUUAAUAGGAAAUUAAUUAAUGAUUUGGUGGUGGUGGAACCCCUAACCCCCCCCCCCCCCCCCGGCCUACACCCCUGAACCCACCUCCUCUCGUGGAUGCAACACCUUUGAUAUUGAGCCAUCUUAUUAAACCCCAGAUUAACAACUUAUAUAUGGGUUCCUGUUACCCUUAAUGGGAAGACACCCGCCACCCUGUGGUACACACAGCAGUAAGCCAUGUGUUUUUGGUACAAACACCUGGGACUUGCCAGCAGACAUCAUGUCCAAGGACGAAUUGUGGAGGGGGAGAUGGGAGGGAUAUACCCCCCCCCUCCUCCGAAAUCCUGUACAAAAUUUCCCCUUGCCCCCCAAAAA